UACGUAGGGUGCAAGCGUUGUCCGGAAUUAUUGGGCGUAAAGAGCGUGUAGGCGGCCAGGGAGGUCCGUUGUGAAAACUCGAGGCUCAACCUCGAGACGUCGGUUGAAACCAUCUGGCUAGAGUCCGGAAGAGGAGAGUGGAAUUCCCGGUGUAGCGGUGAAAUGCGCAGAUAUCGGGAAGAACACCCGUGGCGAAGGCGGCUCUCUGGGACGGUACUGACGCUGAGGUGCGAAAGCUAGGGGAGCAAACAGG
rnacentral:rRNA from 1 species